GUGGGGAAUCUUGCGCAAUGGGCGAAAGCCUGACGCAGCCAUGCCGCGUGAAUGAUGAAGGUCUUAGGAUUGUAAAAUUCUUUCACCGGGGACGAUAAUGACGGUACCCGGAGAAGAAGCUCCGGCUAACUUCGUGCCAGCAGCCGCGGUAAUACGAAGGGGGCUAGCGUUGCUCGGAAUUACUGGGCGUAAAGGGCGCGUAGGCGGACAGCUUAGUCAGAGGUGAAAGCCCAGGGCUCAACCUUGGAAUUGCCUUUGAUACUGACUGUCUUGAGUUUGGGAGAGGUGAGUGGAACUCCGAGUGUAGAGGUGAAAUUCGUAGAUAUUCGGAAGAACACCAGUGGCGAAGGCGACUCACUGGCCCAAUACUGACGCUGAGGCGCGAAAGCGUGGGGAGCAAACAGGAUUAGAUACCCCGGUAGUCC
rnacentral:rRNA from 1 species